GACGGGGACCCGCACAAGUAGCGGAGCAUGUGGUUUAAUUCGAAGCAACGCGAAGAACCUUACCUAAGCUUGACAUCCCAAUGACAUCUCCUUAAUCGGAGAGUUCCCUUCGGGGAUAUUGGUGACAGGUGGUGCAUGGUUGUCGUCAGCUCGUGUCGUGAGAUGUUGGGUUAAGUCCCGCAACGAGCGCAACCCUUGUCUUUAGUUGCCAUCAUUAAGUUGGGCACUCUAGAGAGACUGCCAGGGAUAACCUGGAGGAAGGUGGGGAUGACGUCAAAUCAUCAUGCCCCUUAUGCUUAGGGCUACACACGUGCUACAAUGGGUAGUACAGAGGGUUGCCAAGCCGUAAGGUGGAGCUAAUCCCUUAAAGCUACUCUCAGUUCGGAUUGUAGGCUGAAACUCGCCUACAUGAAGCUGGAGUUACUAGUAAUCGCAGAUCAGAAUGCUGCGGUGAAUGCGUUCCCGGGUCUUGUACACACCGCCCGUCACACCACGGGAGUUGGAGACGCCCGAAGCCGA
rnacentral:rRNA from 1 species